rnacentral:rRNA from 1 species
GACGAACGCUGGCGGCGUGCCUAAUACAUGCAAGUCGAGCGAACGGACGAGGAGCUUGCUUUUCUGAUGUUAGCGGCGCACGGGUGAAUCACGCGUGGAUCACCUCCCUAUCUGACUGGGAUAACUUCGGGACACCGGAGCUAAUACCGGAUGAUAUUUUGAACCGCAGGGUUCAAAGGAGAGAGACGGUGUUUCGGUCACUUCUCGAUGGAUCCGGGCUGCAUUAGCUAGUUGGUAAGUUAACGGCUUACCAAGGCGACGAUGCAUUGCCGACCGGAGAGGGUGAUCGCCCACCCGGGAAGUGAGACGCGGUCAAUGCUCCUACGGGAGGCAGCAGUAGCGAAUCGUCGGCAAUGGGCGAAAGCCUGACGGAGCGGCGCGGCGUGAGUGAUGAAGGCCUUCGGAGCGGAAAACUCGGUUACGAGUGAAGAACAGCUGUGUAAGUAACUGUGCACAGCGUGACGGUACUUAAUCAGAAAGCAACGGCUAACUACGUG